rnacentral:rRNA from 1 species
AUUGAACGCUGGCGGCAUGCUUUACACAUGCAAGUCGAACGGCAGCGCGGGCUUCGGCCUGGCGGCGAGUGGCGAACGGGUGAGUAAUACAUCGGAACGUGCCCAGUAGUGGGGGAUAGCUCGGCGAAAGCCGGAUUAAUACCGCAUACGACCUGAGGGUGAAAGCGGGGGAUCUUCGGACCUCGCGCUAUUGGAGCGGCCGAUGGCAGAUUAGCUAGUUGGUGGGGUAAAGGCCUACCAAGGCGACGAUCUGUAGCUGGUCUGAGAGGACGACCAGCCACACUGGGACUGAGACACGGCCCAGACUCCUACGGGAGGCAGCAGUGGGGAAGUUUGGACAAUGGGCGAAAGCCUGAUCCAGCAAUGCCGCGUGUGUGAUGAAGGCCUUCGGGUUGUAAAGCACUUUUGGCGGGAACGAAAAGGACUGUGCCAAUACCACGGUUCGAUGACGGUACCCGCAGAAUAAGCACCGGCUAGCUACGUG